rnacentral:rRNA from 1 species
GACGAACGCUGGCGGCGUGCUUAACACAUGCAAGUCGAACGAAGUGGCGAACGGGUGAGUAACGCGUAAUCAACCUGCCCUUCAGGGGGGGACAACAGUUGGAAACGACUGCUAAUACCGCAUACUGAAGGGGGGGAUGGCGGCGGAUUAGCUAGUUGGAGGGGUAACGGCCCACCAAGGCGAGGAUCAGUAGGCGGGCUGGGGGGGUGAACGGGCCCAAUGGGACUGGGACACGGGCCAAACUCCUACGGGGGGGAGCAGUGGGGAAUCUUCCGAAAUGGACGGAAGGCUGACGAAGCAAAGCCGCGGGGGUGAUGACGGCCUUCGGGUUGUAAAGCUCUGUUAAUCGGGACGCGGUACCGGAAUAGAAAGCCACGGCUAACUACGUGCCAGCAGCCGCGGUAAUAC